rnacentral:rRNA from 1 species
ACGCUCGACACCUACGAGAGGCAGCAGUGGGGAAUAUUGCACAAUGGGGGAAACCCUGAUGCAGCGACGCCGCGUGAGCGAAGAAGUAUUUCGGUAUGUAAAGCUCUAUCAGCAGGGAAGAUCAUGACGGUACCUGACUAAGAAGCUCCGGCUAAAUACGUGCCAGCAGCCGUGGUAAUCUGAGGCGGGCUGGCAAGGC